rnacentral:rRNA from 1 species
CGUAGGGUGCGAGCGUUGUCCGGAAUUAUUGGGCGUAAAGAGCUCGUAGGCGGUCUGUCGCGUCGGUCGUGAAAACUUGGGGCUUAACCCUGAGCUUGCGGUCGAUACGGGCAUGACUGGAGUUCGGCAGGGGAGACUGGAAUUCCUGGUGUAGCGGUGAAAUGCGCAGAUAUCAGGAGGAACACCGGUGGCGAAGGCGGGUCUCUGGGCCGAUACUGACGCUGAGGAGCGAAAGCGUGGGGAGCGAACAGGAUUAGAUACCCUGGUAGUCCACGCCGUAAACGGUGGGCGCUAGGUGUGGGGGCCAUUCCACGGUCUCUGUGCCGUAGCUAACGCAUUAAGCGCCCCGCCUGGGGAGUACGGCCGCAAGGCUA